rnacentral:lncRNA from 1 species
GCUCGUCCUCCUUCAGCUAGCGAGGUGGUACUAUCCGGGAGCAUUGCGCUGCAUGUGGCUUCGUGUCGUGUUAGGCUUGGGUGUUUUCUCAUGGACCGUCUAAGAGUUGACCAUCUAGGAGUUGACAACCCACAUCACUUGACAACACACAAUGACGAUGGAACCAUGGAACCUCCGUGGUGGGCCUAGGUAUUUUAUCACGUCCAUCUGGAAGGUAACGACUAGGGAUGAAAACGGUUUCGGAAUUUUUCGGUAUUCCGUAAACCGAUUGCGAAAUUUUUCGAUCGGAUUCACCGGUAACGGUAUUUUUCGAAAACGGAAUCGGUUUUCGGAAUUUUCUAUCGGAAUCGGUAUCGGAAUCAGUGUGUGUUUUACCAACCAUUUC